rnacentral:rRNA from 1 species
CAGUCGCCGCGGUAAUACGUAGGGUGCAAGCGUUGUCCGGAAUUAUUGGGCGUAAAGAGCUCGUAGGCGGUUUGUCGCGUCUGCUGUGAAAUCCCGAGGCUCAACCUCGGGCUUGCAGUGGCUACGGGCAGACUAGAGUGCGGUAGGGGAGAUUGGAAUUCCUGGUGUAGCGGUGGAAUGCGCAGAUAUCAGGAGGAACACCGAUGGCGAAGGCAGAUCUCUGGGCCGUAACUGACGCUGAGGAGCGAAAGCGUGGGGAGCGAACAGGAUUAGAUACCCCCGUAGUCCCUGUCUCUUAUAC